CAUUUAUAAGAUCUAUAUAAGUGUGUUGUUUGUGAGUUAGUUUUUAGUUUUUGUUAGUUGAGUUUCGUGUUGAUUAAGAAAUAAGUUUGGUGAACAGAUAGCUAGGAGCGUCUGUUACAAACUGCACUUCAGUCUUAACUGCUACUCCAGUUUCAGUAAUCCCAUCAACUAUAGUGAUACAUCAGACAGUGUCAUUGCUCUUAGUGUGUUAGUGGGUAUAUUGUGUGGUCUACUAACUGUCAGUGUUAUUGUUCAUAUCUACUGCUUUAUAAGAAAGAAGAGUUCAUACACUGUUAAUAAGCAAACGAAAGCUGAUGAUGAUAUUGCAAUGCAAGUAUGUGAACCAUAUGAAAUUCACAAGACUAAACAAAGUGAAAAGAAUGAAGGAGUCUAUGAUGAAUGCCAAACAUCACCUGAUGAUGUUUAUGAGCAUAUGCCACAAUAAAUGUAUAUACUAGAAUUACUUGAUAUACUAAACAUAACUAGUUAAACAUUUUCACUAGUAUUAGUGCAGCAAUUAAUAUUGUUUACACAUAGUUAUACAUUUAGUUUGUUUGAGAAAAAG